AUCCUGCUGACGAGUCCCAAAUAGGACGAAACGCGCAUCCUGGAU
rfam:Schistosoma mansoni strain Puerto Rico chromosome W, complete genome